rnacentral:rRNA from 1 species
UACAGAGGGUGCGAGCGUUGUUCGGAAUUAUUGGGCGUAAAGAGCUCGUAGGCGGUUUGUCGCGUCUGCCGUGAAAGUCCGGGGCUCAACUCCGGAUCUGCGGUGGGUACGGGCAGACUAGAGUGAUGUAGGGGAGACUGGAAUUCCUGGUGUAGCGGUGAAAUGCGCAGAUAUCAGGAGGAACACCGAUGGCGAAGGCAGGUCUCUGGGCAUUAACUGACGCUCAGACACGACAGCAUGGGGAGCGAACGGG